CACAUAAGUGCUUUGUCCGUAAAGCUAUAACGUCGAAUAUUGGUGGCCUUGAAUCGUAACGGAUCGAAAUGUGUUUGGGAAUUCACUCGUUCAUAACUGCGUAGGCAAAUAAACCAUCUUGUACACGUAAUAAGGGUGAUUAAGCAUUAGUUUUUAGUGGACAUAAUGAAGCGAUAUUUGACUAACCCCUCCACCUCUAAGGACAGUCAAAAGAAGAUUAAACCUCAGCCAAAUCAGCUGCUGUUCAUCAAAAAUAAAUACCGAAACCGCAUUAGUGUUGAAGAGGACUUGAGAAUCAAGUUAAGUUCAAUCGACCCAGAUAUUGAAAAUUUGAUCAAGAACAAACAACAACAACAAGCUCAUUAGGAUCUGUUUAUAUUUAAAUGACUGUGUUCAAUUAACUAAUUCAAGAUUGUUUUUAAUGUAUAAUACAUUUUAUUUUGUAAAUACAUACAUACAGUUGUA